rnacentral:rRNA from 1 species
UGUGUAGGCGGUUUGGUAAGUCUGGUGUGAAAUCUCCCGGCUCAACUGGGAGGGUGCGCCGGAAACUGCCGGACUCGAGUGCGGGAGAGGAGAGUGGAAUUCCUGGUGUAGCGGUGAAAUGCGUAGAUAUCAGGAGGAACACCGGUGGUGUAGACGGCUCUCUGGACCGUAACUGACGCUGAAACACGAAAGCGUGGGUAGCAAACAGGAUUAGAUACCCUGGUAGUCCACGCCCUAAACGAUGCAUAUUUGGUGUGGGUCAUUCAGUUGAUCCGUGCCGGAGCUAACGCGUUAAAUAUGCCGCCUGGGGAGUACAGUCGCAAGGCUGAA